rnacentral:rRNA from 1 species
GGNGGCCUANCAUGCAGUCGAGCGGAACGAGUUAUCUGAACCUUCGGGGNACGAUAACGGCGUCGAGCGGCGGACGGGUGAGUAAUGCCUAGGAAAUUGCCCUGAUGUGGGGGAUAACCAUUGGAAACGAUGGCUAAUACCGCAUAAUGCCUACGGGCCAAAGAGGGGGACCUUCGGGCCUCUCGCGUCAGGAUAUGCCUAGGUGGGAUUAGCUAGUUGGUGAGGUAAUGGCUCACCAAGGCGACGAUCCCUAGCUGGUCUGAGAGGAUGAUCAGCCACACUGGAACUGAGACACGGUCCAGACUCCUACGGGAGGCAGCAGUGGGGAAUAUUGCACAAUGGGCGCAAGCCUGAUGCAGCCAUGCCGCGUGUGUGAAGAAGGCCUUCGGGUUGUAAAGCACUUUCAGUCGUGAGGAAGGUNGUGUAGUUAAUAGCUGCAUUANUUGACGUUAGCGACAGAAGAAGCACCGGCUAACUCCGUGCCAGCAGCCGCGGUAAUACGGAGGGUGCGAGCGUUAAUCGGAAUUACUGGGCGUAAAGCGCAUGCAGGUGGUUUGUUAAGUCAGAUGUGAAAGCCCGGGGCUCAACCUCGGAAUAGCAUUUGAAACUGGCAGACUAGAGUACUGUAGAGGGGGGUAGAAUUUCAGGUGUAGCGGUGAAAUGCGUAGAGAUCUGAAGGAAUACCGGUGGCGAAGGCGGCCCCCUGGACAGAUACUGACACUCAGAUGCGAAAGCGUGGGGAGCAAACAGGAUUAGAUACCCUGGUAGUCCACGCCGUAAACGAUGUCUACUUGGAGGUUGUGGCCUUGAGCCGUGGCUUUCGGAGCUAACGCGUUAAGUAGACCGCCUGGGGAGUACGGUCGCAAGAUUAAAACUCAAAUGAAUUGACGGGGGCCCGCACAAGCGGUGGAGCAUGUGGUUUAAUUNGAUGCAANGCGAAGAACCUUACCUACUCUUGACAUCCAGAGAACUUUCCAGAGAUGGAUUGGUGCCUUCGGGAACUCUGAGACAGGUGCUGCAUGGCUGUCGUCAGCUCGUGUUGUGAAAUGUUGGGUUAAGUCCCGCAACGAGCGCAACCCUUAUCCUUGUUUGCCAGCGAGUAAUGUCGGGAACUCCAGGGAGACUGCCGGUGAUAAACCGGAGG